ACUACAUUAGAUACCCCGGUAGUCCUAGCCGUAAACGAUACUCGCUAGGUGUCGGCCACGGUGCGACCGUUGUCGGUGCCGUAGGGAAGCCGUGAAGCGAGCCACCUGGGAAGUACGGCCGCAAGGCUGAAACUUAAAGGAAUUGGCGGGGGAGCACAACAACGGGUGGAGCUUGCGGUUUAAUUGGAUUCAACGCCGGAAAUCUUACCGGGACCGACAGCAACAUGAAGGCCAAGCUGAAGACUUUGCCGGAUUAGCUG
rnacentral:rRNA from 1 species